GUCUAUUAGAGGGUAUUUAUAGUCUAGCCUGCUCACUGAUAAAAAUUAUUAAAUAGCCGCGGUAUCUUGACCGUGCAAAGGUAGCAUAAUCAUUAGUUUUUUAAUUGAAAACUUGUAUGAAUGGUUGGACAAAGAAAAAGCUGUCUCUUUCAUUAAAAUUGAAUUUAACUUCUAAGUGAAAAGGCUUAGAUAUUUUAGAGGGACGAUAAGACCCUAUAAAGCUUUAUAAAUUUAGAAAUUUUAUAUAUUUCUUUAAUAAUGAUAAUCUUUUGAAAAUUUAUUGGGUUGGGGCAACAAAAGUAUAAUUAUUAAUAACUGCUAGAAAGUAUUACAAUUGUUUUUGUCAUAAAGAAAAUUAGUUGAUCCCUGAAAGGGAUUAAAAGAUCAAGUUACUUUAGGGAUAACAGCGUAAUUUAUUCUGAGAGUCCUUAUCAAAGAAUAAGUUUGCGACCUCGAUGUUGAAUUAAAAUGUCUUUAUAGUGCAGCAGCUAUAUAAGAAGGUCUGUUCGACCUUUAAUUUUUU
rnacentral:rRNA from 1 species